rnacentral:rRNA from 1 species
GACGAACGCUGGCGGCGUGCCUAACACAUGCAAGUCGAGCGGAGAUGAUGUGAGGAAGUUUUCGGAUGGAAUCACAUUAUUUUAGCGGCGGACGGGUGAGUAACGCGUGAGCGACCAACCUUGCACAGGGGGAUAACGGACCGAAAGGUUCACUAAUACCGCAUGAGACCACGGUGUUGCAUGACACAGGGGUCAAAGGAGGAAUCCGGUGCAAGACGGGCUCGCGUCCGAUUAGGUAGUUGGAGGGGUAACGGCCCACCAAGCCUAUGAUCGGUAGCCGACCUGAGAGGAUGAUCAGCCACACUGGGACUGAGACACGGCCCAGACUCCUACGGGAGGCAGCAGUGGGGAAUAUUGGACAAUGGGCGCAAGCCUGAUCCAGCCAUGCCGCGUGAGUGAUGACGGCCUUAGGGUUGUAAAGCUCUUUUACCCGGGAAGAUAAUGACGGUACCGGGAGAAUAAGCCCCGGCUAACUUCGUGCCAGCAGCCGCGGUAAUAU